AUACUUUUCUAGUGGGUAAUAGUCUCUCAAUUGCAGAUGUUGCUGUGUGGACUGGUCUUGAAGGUGCUGGAUUGAGAUGGCAAAGUUUAAGGAAAUCGAAGAAGUACCAAAACCUGGUUCGCUGGUUCAACUCAAUAGCUACUGAAUACGAUGCGGUGUUGAGUGAAUUUAUUUCAACGUAUGGGAAAAGAGGCCCUACCUUUGAGGUACUUCCUAAUGCUGUGGAUGGAAAAGUGAAGCUGCGUUUCGCACCCGAGCCCAGUGGCCACUAGGCCAAAACAGCUCACUUGCGACGUUUUUUUUGGGCGACGAUCCCCGAAUCGUCGCUCGUUUGCGACCAUUUUGACUAAAAACGUCGCAAGUGAGCUGAAAAUAAGAUUUCGAUGGAAUAUGUCGCGACGAUAAACGUAUUCGUCGCGAAUAUGCGACUAAUACUAAAAAACCGUCGCAAAGGGAAAAAAAAUAAUAUAGCACUCUCGUAGCGACGUUUUUAUAUAACCGACGCAUGAAAAAUAUUUUUUGCAAUUUAUUUUUUUACCUG